GACGAACGCUGGCGGCGUGCCUAAUACAUGCAAGUAGAACGCUGAAGGAGGAGCUUGCUUCUCUGGAUGAGUUGCGAACGGGUGAGUAACGCGUAGGUAACCUGCCUGGUAGCGGGGGAUAACUAUUGGAAACGAUAGCUAAUACCGCAUAAGAGUAGAUGUUGCAUGACAUUUGCUUAAAAGGUGCAAUUGCAUCACUGCCAGAUGGACCUGCGUUGUAUUAGCUAGUUGGUGGGGUAACGGCUCACCAAGGCGACGAUACAUAGCCGACCUGAGAGGGUGAUCGGCCACACUGGGACUGAGACACGGCCCAGACUCCUACGGGAGGCAGCAGUAGGGAAUCUUCGGCAAUGGACGGAAGUCUGACCGAGCAACGCCGCGUGAGUGAAGAAGGGUUUCGGAUCGUAAAGCUCUGUUGUAAGAGAAGAACGAGUGUGAGAGUGGAAAGUUCACACUGUGACGGUAUCUGACCAGAAAGGGACGGCUAACUACGUG
rnacentral:rRNA from 1 species